UGCUUCUGAUGUCACCUCCAACAAAUAGUGUU
rnacentral:piRNA from 1 species